rnacentral:rRNA from 1 species
CAAUAGCGUAUAUUUAAGUUGUCGCAGUUAAAAAGCUCGUAGUUGGAUUUCGGGUGGGACGCAGCGGUCUCGCAUUGCGUUUGUACUGCUGCAGCCCUCCUUCUUGCCGGGGGCGGCCUCUCGGACUUCACUGUCUGGGGGUCAGAAUCGGCGAUGUUACUUUGAGUAAAUUAGAGUGUUCAAAGCAAGCUUACGCUCUGAAUAUAAUAGCAUGGGAUAACACGACAGGACUCUGGCCUAUCGUGUUGGUCUAUAGGACCAGAGUAAUGAUUAAGAGGGACAGUCGGGGGCAUUCGUAUUCCGUUGUCAGAGGUGAAAUUCUUGGAUUUACGGAAGACGAACAUCUGCGAAAGCAUUUGCCAAGGAUGUUUUCAUUGA